GCGGGUAUGGUUUAGUGGCAGAACACUUGCUUCCCAAGCAAGGGAUCGGGGUUCGAUUCCCCGUACCCGCA
rnacentral:tRNA from 4 species